AAAGUUAUAGUCAAAAAUGACAUUUGGGUUGCAUUCAAAAAGUGCUCUAAUUGAGCUAACUUUA
rnacentral:tRNA from 1 species